rnacentral:rRNA from 1 species
AACAUUUCACAACACGAGCUGACGACAGCCAUGCAGCACCUGUCUCAGAGUUCCCGAAGGCACCAAAGCAUCUCUGCUAAGUUCUCUGGAUGUCAAGAGUAGGUAAGGUUCUUCGCGUUGCAUCGAAUUAAACCACAUGCUCCACCGCUUGUGCGGGCCCCCGUCAAUUCAUUUGAGUUUUAACCUUGCGGCCGUACUCCCCAGGCGGUCAACUUAAUGCGUUAGCUGCGCCACUAAGAGCUCAAGGCUCCCAACGGCUAGUUGACAUCGUUUACGGCGUGGACUACCAGGGUAUCUAAUCCUGUUUGCUCCCCACGCUUUCGCACCUCAGUGUCAGUAUCAGUCCAGGUGGUCGCCUUCGCCACUGGUGUUCCUUCCUAUAUCUACGCAUUUCACCGCUACACAGGAAAUUCCACCACCCUCUACCAUACUCUAGCUCGUCAGUUUUGAAUGCAGUUCCCAGGUUGAGCCCGGGGAUUUCACAUCCAACUUAACGAACCACCUACGCGCGCUUUACGCCCAGUAAUUCCGAUUAACGCUUGCACCCUCUGUAUUACCGCGGCUGCUGGCACAGAGUUAGCCGGUGCUUAUUCUGUCGGUAACGUCAAAACAGCAAAGUAUUAAUUUACUGCCCUUCCUCCCAACUUAAAGUGCUUUACAAUCCGAAGACCUUCUUCACACACGCGGCAUGGCUGCAUCAGGCUUGCGCCCAUUGUGCAAUAUUCCCCACUGCUGCCUCCCGUAGGAGUCUGGACCGUGUCUCAGUUCCAGUGUGACUGAUCAUCCUCUCAGACCAGUUACGGAUCGUCGCCUUGGUGAGCCAUUACCUCACCAACUAGCUAAUCCGACCUAGGCUCAUCUGAUAGCGCAAGGCCCGAAGGUCCCCUGCUUUCUCCCGUAGGACGUAUGCGGUAUUAGCGUUCGUUUCCGAACGUUAUCCCCCACUACCAGGCAGAUUCCUAGGCAUUACUCACCCGUCCGCCGCUCUCAAGAGAAGCAAGCUUCUCUCUACCGCUC